CGAGAAGGAUCCAAAGCACAACGAGAAGGGGUCCGUGAAGACAGACCAGACCUCAGAGGAGUCAAGCUGGACUCCGGCCCCCCUGUGGGUAUGAGGAAGAAGAGGGAGCCUCUGUCACCCUUGUUCCUCCAGAGUCAUAGGACGCUCUGCGGUGACCUCUAUUCCCACCCUAGAGGUCCUGCCGCUUUAAAGCCUCGGGGAGGCAGAUGCCAAGAUGGAUUCAGAAGUGCAGAUUUACCAGGGGAACUUCUGUGAGGGAUCAAGGGAAGAGAUGCAGGCGUAAUCUGGAAAAGACUUUUGAGCAAAACAAGGGUCUGACACCUGUGGAAGAACAGAGGGAAGGAAGAACUGGAUAAGAAUGUCCUCAAACUGCAGAGUUGCACCUGCUCUGAGAAGGCCUCAGCCGGGUCACGAGGUCGAGCAGUCUGCAGAGAGCACGGCCCUGCUGUGAACGUUAUGCUGGAUCCCAAGGUGCAGCAGCUGCUGGCUGUCAGCCCACGACUCUUCUCUCAGCAAGCUCUGUUGAACGGAGAGCUAUGUGACGCGUCUCCAAGACAGCCGCAGAUCUCAGCACAAGCUUGGUGCAGUUCUCAGCUAAGAUGUUUUCCUGUAUUUAAAGUUGAUUCCUUAGAUUACUAGAGAUUACCAGAGCAAGAUAUAGCAACAUUUUAAAGAUUCUUGACUCAUCACCAUUCCCAAUCACUGCAGAAAGACUGAAUUACUCUCACUGUGCUAUAUUUAAUAUAUGAAAUUGUACCAAUAUGUUUUAUAACAUUUUGAAGAACAAAGUUAAAAGGAAUGUUGAGG